GGGCGAGUAGCUCAGUCGGUUAGAGCGCACGGUUCACAUCCGUGAGGUCGUAGGUUCGAUCCCUAUCUCGCCCA
rnacentral:tRNA from 1 species